rnacentral:rRNA from 1 species
CAGGUAGGACUACCCGCUGAACUUAAGCAUAUCAAUAAGCGGAGGAAAAGAAACCAACAGGGAUUGCCUCAGUAACGGCGAGUGAAGCGGCAAAAGCUCAAAUUUGAAAUCUGGCACCUUCGGUGUCCGAGUUGUAAUUUGAAGAAGGUAACUUUGGAGUUGGCUCUUGUCUAUGUUCCUUGGAACAGGACGUCACAGAGGGUGAGAAUCCCGUGCGAUGAGAUGCCCAAUUCUAUGUAAAGUGCUUUCGAAGAGUCGAGUUGUUUGGGAAUGCAGCUCUAAGUGGGUGGUAAAUUCCAUCUAAAGCUAAAUAUUGGCGAGAGACCGAUAGCGAACAAGUACAGUGAUGGAAAGAUGAAAAGAACUUUGAAAAGAGAGUGAAAAAGUACGUGAAAUUGUUGAAAGGGAAGGGCUUGAGAUCAGACUUGGUAUUUUGCAAGCCUUACCUUCGUGGUGGGGUCCCCUGCAGUUUACUGGGCCAGCAUCGGUUUGGAUGGUAGGAUAAUGACUUGGGAAUGUGACUUUGCUUCGGUAAAGUGUUAUAGCCCUUGUUGAUACUGCCUGUCUAGACCGAGGACUGCGUC